GAUGAACGCUGGCGGCGUGCCUAAUACAUGCAAGUCGAGCGAACAGACGAGGAGCUUGCUCCUCUGACGUUAGCGGCGGACGGGUGAGUAACACGUGGAUAACCUACCUAUAAGACUGGGAUAACUUCGGGAAACCGGAGCUAAUACCGGAUAACAUGUUGAACCGCAUGGUUCAACAGUGAAAGACGGUCUUGCUGUCACUUAUAGAUGGAUCCGCGCCGCAUUAGCUGGUUGGUAAGGUAACGGCUUACCAAGGCAACGAUGCGUAGCCGACCUGAGAGGGUGAUCGGCCACACUGGAACUGAGACACGGUCCAGACUCCUACGGGAGGCAGCAGUAGGGAAUCUUCCGCAAUGGGCGAAAGCCUGACGGAGCAACGCCGCGUGAGUGAUGAAGGUCUUCGGAUCGUAAAACUCUGUUAUUAGGGAAGAACAAAUGUGUAAGUAACUAUGCACGUCUUGACGGUACCUAAUCAGAAAGCCACGGCUAACUACGUG
rnacentral:rRNA from 1 species